AUGAGUCAAAUGUCGCCGCCCUCUUCAUGGUUUUUGACAGAAUGGUGGAUGAAUAAAAUUAGUGGCUCAAGAAAUCUCCACUGAGGAUUUCCAUCGCUCCCUUUAUGAGGUGGCAACAUUGAACAUGAAGGCAGCCAAACCACUCAGGCCAGUGAGACCGGGGGAAGUUUGUGGGUCACAUGAGCUCCCAUCUUCACCUGGUGGUGGACCCCCCUCUUGGAUUUUAAGCUCUGUGGAAGGUGCAGGCUUCCAGGAGUUCUGUGGGGACAGAGAAGAAAGGUGAAAACUUCUCUCUUCACUGAACAAAAAGAUUGAGAAUCAGAGCUCUGGAACUUGACAGAGUCCAUAACAUUUCCAUCAAUGCAUCCUGAACACAAGUGAACCCAGUGACCCCGAUUUACAGGGACAGAGGAACAUGUGC